AGCUGCUACUCUGGAGUAAAGCAAUAUAGCAUCCCUAUGUCCACGGAAGAUAGUGAUUGGUCUUUAAGAUAAAUAAUGUAUUCUUUUUAAAUUAAAGGAUUUUUCAUGGAGUGCUUUAAUUUGUGAGAGCUCUAUAUCCAACGUAUUUUAACACCUGGUUAGUAUAAAGCAUUGUUUGAGUUAUUUAUCUCAGCCCUCUCCCUUGGUACUGUGUUUUUAAAAUCUGGUGUGUAUUUCACACUUGCAGCAAAUCUCAGUUUGGACUAGCCACGUUGCAAGUGCCCAGUAGACACAUGAGCACUUGAAAUGUGCUCUAAGUAAGUUCCUAGUGUCUUACUAAUUGGUCAGUACAGGUAUGACUUAUGUUGAAUUUUGCUUAGUUACGCAAAAUGUAAAUCUUAAUAAAAGGGCCUCUUAGUAUUAGCACUCAUUGGAUUUUCUAAGUGGAAAUGUAAUGGGCAGUGCAGUGAUUUAACAGUGUUCACUGCAGAUGUUUCUAUGAAGACUUGGGAAUUAUUGCAAGCACAUACAAUAAAUAGGUUAUUUCUUAAGCUAGCGUUAAAAUACUUUUACUUAGUAUGGUCCUCAGCAAGACUAUGAGUGGAAUAUUACAUGCCUACACAAGCAUACAUGCAUAUGGUUUAAUAAAA